AAAAAUGCAGUGACUGAGGGAAAGUAACUUUUACAUUUGUUUUCAGAGAGUUGUCGGUUGGUGUAAGAUAAUAACAAUAAAUUGUGAAAAUCUCCUCAAGAGCAGUUGAACUAAAGAAUUCAGAAAUAAUUUGUGUAGGUUCAAACGGAUUAAUUCUUCGUUAAAAGAAUUAGCAUUAACACAUUAUUGUGUAGAUGUUUUGAGGUGGCUAUAUUUAUUUAUAGCAAUAAGAGUGGUACCGCAGAGCCUAAGACUUUGUCUCUUGA
rnacentral:ncRNA from 1 species